AAGGCUAUACUUUCAGGGAUCACUUCUAUAGUGCAUAACUAGAGAAAUUAAUAUAGAAAUGAAUUGGUUUUUAAACAUGAAAACUACCGU
ensembl:snoRNA U3 Small nucleolar RNA U3